UUAGCUAUAGGUGUAACGCAUACGCAUGCGAAUGGUGCGAAUGCGUAUGCACAUGCGAAUGUGGCGAAUGAAUUCGCGAGUUUUACGCGACCCUAAACGCGACCAGGUGACUUUUAACGCGAGCGUAUCGCCAAACGCAAGGGAUAGUGAAUGGCAUACGCGACUGCGAAUCCUGCGAAUGUAUGUGCUACCAUUUGAAUUUUACGCGAGUGACUGCGACUUGCGUGCGGGACUGCGAACUGUACGGCCAACCGUGCAAUACAAAAGCUUUACAAUAGCAGUACACGAGCUGUACAAUAUGCAAAGUGCACCGCCGUUGCACAUGACCUGCAGGUUCACAGCUGUGAACCACAGCACUCACUGCUUUCUUCAUACAUUUGAACUAUCCCUGAAUGACAGGUACGAAUUCAUAGCAAAUCCUAACAUGACCGAUGCAACUCAGCCAGCAACUCUUACCAUGGAAAAGGGUCCAACAGUCUAACGUCAGAAAAAAUGGACACACAAAUGUUAAGCGCAUGUAAAUGUACCACAAUACAGCCACUAUUGUCUUCUUAUUAAAGCGCUCAAUCCUCGCCUCCGCUGAUGUCAUCUUCACGAACGACGGCAUAUAUCUGCAUAUCAAAGGAUCACAACAAAUCAUUGUUUAGGCAGGAAAACAUAGUUGUGAGCAUGUUACGUACAAUGACGGCUGUAGGUGUAACACCGGCGUAACGUGCCACGAAAUAAGGCAAUAAAAAGCAUUUAGUUAAUAGCCAUGGUCUUGCAACCAGAGGCUUCAUACCUCCGAACGGCCGCUUCGUGGCCUGCCACGUCCCGUUUGAGCCCGACUCUUGUUCAUAUCCUUACCACCAUCCUUGCGCUUGUCCUAUUCCUUGCGAUUCUCCUGCUCGUGUCCUUGGAAUGUAAAAUGACAAGGCAUAAUGUCAGUGUAUGCACCUGCAUGAUGGCCACUUACUGCCGGUGGCGUCUAGUCCCCCUUUUCCUGCUUUCCCCUGCUUGCCUGCGAAUGAAUGCUGCGCCAUUAUAAAGACAGAUUCUUGUUAAGCAGCCCCUCGCACAAAUGUGUCCGGUCGUACUUCGCGAAUAAAAGGUCCGUACAUCACGCCCCAAAAGCCAGGAGCGAAUUUCACCGCGCGGGUGCGCGCGUGCGAUUCGCAAAAUGCGCGUGUACAAGUGUAUAUAAAUUUUCUUAGAAGAAAGGCCGCGGUGCGUCAGCGCGGUGCGCAGGAAGGCAUGCUGGCCACAGGCGCACGCGGCAUGCAGGCUGGACUAUUGCAUGGCUGCUUUGCAGUAACUGAAAGCACCGAAAGCCUACGUCGUAGCUUGCAAGACUGGGCUCGUGAAACUGCCGCGGGAAGAGGAAGCGUCUGGCGAAGAGGCAGUUGUAUGCAGCACCUUGUUCAGAGUAAAGUCAAAUUACAAAGUUGCGCAAAGUAUAACAUACAUCAACUUAAUUAAACAUAAGAACAGAUAAGACGUGUAGAGCCUUGUCGGUGACAUGGACGCCGCUGUUGGCUUGGAACAGCUAUUUGCUGUGCAUAGGGACGUGCCCGCGUUAGCCGUGUUGCAACAGCUCAGGAUGGAUUUCAGCCAACAAAGCCUCANNNNNNNNNNNNNNNNNNNNNNNNNNNNNNNNNNNNNNNNNNNNNNNNNNCGCGAGCGUAUCGCCAAACGCAAGGGAUAGUGAAUGGCAUACGCGACUGCGAAUCCUGCGAAUGUAUGUGCUACCAUUUGAAUUUUACGCGAGUGACUGCGACUUGCGUGCGGGACUGCGAACUGUACGGCCAACCGUGCAAUACAAAAGCUUUACAAUAGCAGUACACGAGCUGUACAAUAUGCAAAGUGCACCGCCGUUGCACAUGACCUGCAGGUUCACAGCUGUGAACCACAGCACUCACUGCUUUCUUCAUACAUUUGAACUAUCCCUGAAUGACAGGUACGAAUUCAUAGCAAAUCCUAACAUGACCGAUGCAACUCAGCCAGCAACUCUUACCAUGGAAAAGGGUCCAACAGUCUAACGUCAGAAAAAAUGGACACACAAAUGUUAAGCGCAUGUAAAUGUACCACAAUACAGCCACUAUUGUCUUCUUAUUAAAGCGCUCAAUCCUCGCCUCCGCUGAUGUCAUCUUCACGAACGACGGCAUAUAUCUGCAUAUCAAAGGAUCACAACAAAUCAUUGUUUAGGCAGGAAAACAUAGUUGUGAGCAUGUUACGUACAAUGACGGCUGUAGGUGUAACACCGGCGUAACGUGCCACGAAAUAAGGCAAUAAAAAGCAUUUAGUUAAUAGCCAUGGUCUUGCAACCAGAGGCUUCAUACCUCCGAACGGCCGCUUCGUGGCCUGCCACGUCCCGUUUGAGCCCGACUCUUGUUCAUAUCCUUACCACCAUCCUUGCGCUUGUCCUAUUCCUUGCGAUUCUCCUGCUCGUGUCCUUGGAAUGUAAAAUGACAAGGCAUAAUGUCAGUGUAUGCACCUGCAUGAUGGCCACUUACUGCCGGUGGCGUCUAGUCCCCCUUUUCCUGCUUUCCCCUGCUUGCCUGCGAAUGAAUGCUGCGCCAUUAUAAAGACAGAUUCUUGUUAAGCAGCCCCUCGCACAAAUGUGUCCGGUCGUACUUCGCGAAUAAAAGGUCCGUACAUCACGCCCCAAAAGCCAGGAGCGAAUUUCACCGCGCGGGUGCGCGCGUGCGAUUCGCAAAAUGCGCGUGUACAAGUGUAUAUAAAUUUUCUUAGAAGAAAGGCCN
rnacentral:lncRNA from 1 species